rnacentral:lncRNA from 1 species
CAGGAGGGCCACAUCCGUACUGAGUGCCCAAGAGGUUCUUCACCGGCACCGUCGACUGCAUCGGCACCGGCUCUACCAGCCGUCAGCCACGGGACUCCGUCGACACAGUACCAGCCUGGGCGGCCACCCGUCCAACGCCAGAGCGAGGGAUCUCGACAGGCCCCGAGUGGGCGUUUGUAUGCCGCUCAGACUGAGGAGGCGACAGCAGCCGAGGAUGUGGUUGCAGGUAUCAUUUUACUUGAUGGCAUUAGAGUUCGUGCUUUAUUUGAUACCGGUGCAUCGCAUUCAUUUAUAGAUCGGCUGUUUGCCGAGUUGCAUGGCAUCCCUUUGGUUUUCUUGUUGCAUCCGGGACAUGUUGUAGUACCCGACCACACUCUGGAUAUUAAACAGUAUUGC